rnacentral:rRNA from 1 species
CUUUACUGCAACUUGACGUUGGAACUUGGCUGUAUUUGUGUAGGAUAGGUGGGAGACUUUGAAGCAGGGCCGUCAGGUCUUGCGGAGUCGUCGUUGAAAUGCCACCCUGGUGCUGACGAGUUUCUAACCGUGUCCGUAAGCCGGACAUAAGACAGCGUCUGGUGGGCAGUUUGACUGGGGCGGUCGCCUCCUAAAAGGUAACGGAGGCAUUCAAAGGUCCCCUCAGCGUGGUCGGUAAUCACGCGCAGAGUGCAAACGCAUAAGGGGGCUUAACUGCGAGACCGACAGGUCGAGCAGGUACGAAAGUAGGAGUUAGUGAUCCCGCGGUUUAGCGUAGAAUUGCCGUUGCUCAAUGGAUAAAAGGUA